rnacentral:rRNA from 1 species
CGGUACGGGGUGGAGUAACAACGUGGAGUCAUCUACCCUGGAGGUGGGGAAUAACGCUGGGAAACCGGCGCUAAUACCGCAUAAUCCCGAGAGGGCAAAGGGCGUUGUGAAAACAGAGCCUCGCUUCAGGAGGAGUCCGGCGGCCGAUUAGCUAGUUGGCAGGGUAAAAGCCUACCAAGGCAACGAUCGGUAGCCGGCCUGAGAGGGCACACGGCCACACUGGCACUGAAACACGGGCCAG